GCAACAGCUACUGUGCGUGGUAUGCAGGUUUCUUUAAUCGCUUGAAUAUCAAACGCAAACGAUGUAAAAAUAGGUGUCAAACUUUGAGGCAUACCUACUCAAUAUCUAGUCUUUAAUUAUAUUUUGAUUGGCUCUCAAAUUUUCAUCUUCAAAUCUUACUACGCAGGACGGUACCGCGCUAUGAGCAGAGCGCUGCAGCUAGCGUCGUAAGCGAAAAAUUGUCAAGUAAGGAAUUUCAAUGAGAUCCAAUCAAUACACAAGAGCGCACAACAACCGAUUCUUAGUUAUAGUAACUAAUACAAGGAUAAGAAACGACAAAUUAGGAAAAUACAUGUAUAUGAAACUAUCAAAGUUUCGUUAGCCGGUCCAAAAGUCAAACUAUAAUCAAGAUUCAACUUCUCAAAUAAAAAAACGUAAAUUCGAGUUGGUUUUCAGGACGGUACCACGCCCCUUUACUUGAUGCCGGGGACGUGUGCUCGCGUCCAAUUUUAAUGGAGUAACUGUUAUAAAAAAAUAAAAUGUUUCAAAUAA